rnacentral:rRNA from 1 species
AGUGAACGCUGGCGGUAGGCCUAACACAUGCAAGUCGAACGGCAGCACAGUAAGAGCUUGCUCUUACGGGUGGCGAGUGGCGGACGGGUGAGGAAUACAUCGGAAUCUACUUUUUCGUGGGGGAUAACGUAGGGAAACUUACGCUAAUACCGCAUACGACCUACGGGUGAAAGCAGGGGAUCUUCGGACCUUGCGCGAUUGAAUGAGCCGAUGUCGGAUUAGCUAGUUGGCGGGGUAAAGGCCCACCAAGGCGACGAUCCGUAGCUGGUCUGAGAGGAUGAUCAGCCAAACUGGAAAUGAGACACGGUCCAGACCCCUACGGGAGGCAGCAGGGGGGAAUUUGGGACAAGGGGCGAAAGCCUGAUCCAGCCAUACCGGGUGGGUGAAGAAGGCCUUCGGGUUGUAAAGCCUUUUUGUUGGGAAAAAAAAGCAGCAGGUUAAAACCCCGCUGUUCUGACGGUACCCAAAGAAUAAGCACCGGCUAACUUCGU